GGGGAAACUGAUACCUGGGCAGGCCUGAGCAGUGGUCUGUUCAUCACUAGUUAUCCCCAGAGCAUCCCCGCUUUCUGAUGACCGCGGCGAAUUGAGAGAAAUCGCCACGGACAGAUACGGAGCGGACAUUU
ensembl:scaRNA